rnacentral:rRNA from 1 species
UUUGAUCCGGGCUUCAGGACGAACCGCGGGCGGCGCGCCCUUAACACAUGCAAGUCGAACGAGCGAGAGAGAGCUUGCUUUCUCGAGCGAGUGGGCGAACGGGUGAGUAACGCGUGAGGAACCUGCCUCAAAGAGGGGGACAACAGUUGGAAACGACUGCUAAUACCGCAUAAGCCCACGGGUCGGCAUCGACCAGAGGGAAAAGGAGCAAUCCGCUUUGAGAUGGCCUCGCGUCCGAUUAGCUAGUUGGUGAGGUAACGGCCCACCAAGGCAACGAUCGGUAGCCGGACUGAGAGGUUGAACGGCCACAUUGGGACUGAGACACGGCCCAGACUCCUACGGGAGGCAGCAGUGGGGAAUAUUGCACAAUGGGGGAAACCCUGAUGCAGCGACGCCGCGUGGAGGAAGAAGGUCUUCGGAUUGUAAACUCCUGUUGUUGAGGAAGAUAAUGACGGUACUCAACAAGGAAGUGACGGCUAACUACGUGCCAGCAGCCGCGGUAAAACGUAGGUCACAAGCGUUGUCCGGAAUUACUGGGUGUAAAGGGAGCGCAGGCGGGAAGACAAGUUGGAAGUGAAAUCCAUGGGCUCAACCCAUGAACUGCUUUCAAAACUGUUUUUCUUGAGUAGUGCAGAGGUAGGCGGAAUUCCCGGUGUAGCGGUGGAAUGCGUAGAUAUCGGGAGGAACACCAGUGGCGAAGGCGGCCUACUGGGCACCAACUGACGCUGAGGCUCGAAAGUGUGGGUAGCAAACAGGAUUAGAUACCCUGGUAGUCCACACCGUAAACGAUGAUUACUAGGUGUUGGAGGAUUGCCCCCUUCAGUGCCGCAGUUAACACAGUAAGUAAUCCACCUGGGGAGUACGACCGCAAGGUUGAAACUCAAAGGAAUUGACGGGGGCCCGCACAAGCAGUGGAGUAUGUGGUUUAAUUCGACGCAACGCGAAGAACCUUACCAAGUCUUGACAUCCCUUGACGAACAUAGAAAUAUGUUUUCUCUUCGGAGCAAGGAGACAGGUGGUGCAUGGUUGUCGUCAGCUCGUGUCGUGAGAUGUUGGGUUAAGUCCCGCAACGAGCGCAACCCUUACUGUCAGUUACUACGCAAGAGGACUCUGGCAGGACUGCCGUUGACAAAACGGAGGAAGGUGGGGAUGACGUCAAAUCAUCAUGCCCUUUAUGACUUGGGCUACACACGUACUACAAUGGCGUUAAACAAAGAGAAGCAAGACCGCGAGGUGGAGCAAAACUCAGAAACAACGUCCCAGUUCGGACUGCAGGCUGCAACUCGCCUGCACGAAGUCGGAAUUGCUAGUAAUCGUGGAUCAGCAUGCCACGGUGAAUACGUUCCCGGGCCUUGCACACACCGCCCGUCAA